AACGAACGCUGGCGGCAUGCCUAACACAUGCAAGUCGAACGAGACCUUCGGGUCUAGUGGCGCACGGGUGCGUAACGCGUGGGAACCUGCCCUUAGGUUCGGAAUAACUCCCCGAAAGGGGUGCUAAUACCGGAUAAUGUCUUCGGACCAAAGAUUUAUCGCCUUUGGAUGGGCCCGCGUUGGAUUAGCUAGUUGGUAAGGUAAAAGCCUACCAAGGCGACGAUCCAUAGCUGGUCUGAGAGGAUGAUCAGCCACACUGGGACUGAGACACGGCCCAGACUCCUACGGGAGGCAGCAGUGGGGAAUAUUGGACAAUGGGCGAAAGCCUGAUCCAGCAAUGCCGCGUGAGUGAUGAAGGCCUUAGGGUUGUAAGCUCUUUUACCCGGGAUGAUAAUGACAGUACCGGGAGAAUAAGCUCCGGCUAACUCCGUG
rnacentral:rRNA from 1 species